rnacentral:lncRNA from 1 species
GUGGUCCACAGGCUAGGAGAGGGCUGGGUCCUUAGGGUCUCACAGGGUCAAAAUGGAGGCAGAUGCUGGAUGGCGCGCUUAUCUGGACGUCCUUGAGAAGAAGAAUCAGCUUUCGACCUCCUUCAGGCUGUUGACAGAAUUCAGAUCCUGUGGCUGGUGAGGACGGAGGACCCCUUCCUUGCUGGCUGUCAGGAUGCAGGUUCCCAGGUACUGCUACAAGGCUGAUGGAGAAAGGGAUGGCAACAGGAGCGUCAGACAAAGAAGCUCAUUCUAUAGACCCAGCAGGGCCAGCACUGACCAACAGAUGACCAGGCAAUUUGAAAGGAAGAGAGGAUUUAGGCGCCAUACUCAAGGUUACCUGGGUAAGAAAUGAUGGAGCAAGAAUGUCACCCAUGGGACCACACCCCUGAAUCUAUAAAUUGGAGUGUUUCUGCAAAUUCUAAGAGGUUCUUAACAUUAUCCAGAAUGGUGCCCUGGUGGACGAUCAUGCACCUUGCUGGCGAGGCGCUUUCUUCAGGGUCUUCAUCAUUAUAGUGUCUCUGAAAUUACAAAGUAAGGGAAAUAAAGACAAAGGUCUGAUUGGAAGCUGCAAAUACAAUGGGUGUAGCCAAUAUGGUCAUGAGGUGCCGCACAGCCCAAAGAGCCUCACUGUGACAACACCACCAACCAAAUUUGGCUCCUGCAGAAAUCUUUGUGAAUGUUAUUUCAGACUUAAGGGAGUGAUGUGAAAUCUCAGGCUAGAGUGGAUGCUGACUGAUGAGUUAUUUCACCUUGCAACAUCAAAGAAUCAGAAAAUUCCAGAGCAAACUCAUUCUAGAAGACAAGAUUAAUAGAUUGCUGGCCAAGACUCUGCUCUCCUCUCCAUGUUCCCUUUCCUUUUUACUUUAGUUGCUCAGGUAAAAAUAUGUGUUUAGAUGAAAGAAAUAAGCAUUUCUUAAAAGUGGUGCUUUGAACAGUGAAUGAUCAAUGAUCUUACCUGAAUGGCUGCGGCAGCUGGCUGAGGGACAUUGACUAUAUUUACAUGUAACGCUACAGGGUAUGGAACAUGACUGGAGACCUAGAUGCAAAAGACAAAACAAAGGCCACGUCAUUCAGGGCUACAUAUGCUUCAGGGGACUUGGCUUCCUGAGGUUUCGUUCUGGGACUGAGAGAAAAAAAACACUUUACUGAUAAAAUACACUAAACAAAUUUUUAAAACCUUUUAAUGUGAAAUUUAGCCAGGCCUUUAAAAUGGCUAAACAGCUAAAGGAACAUGGUGAAAAAUCCUUGGGAGGUGUUGAUGAG